rnacentral:rRNA from 1 species
GAUGAACGCUGGCGGCGUGCCUAAUACAUGCAAGUCGAGCGAACGGACGAGAAGCUUGCUUCUCUGAUGUUAGCGGCGGACGGGUGAGUAACACGUGGAUAACCUACCUAUAAGACUGGGAUAACUUCGGGAAACCGUAGCUAAUACCGGAUAAUAUUUUGAACCGCAUGGUUCAAAAGUGAAAGACGGUCUUGCUGUCACCUAUAGAUGGAUCCGCGCUGCAUUAGCUAGUUGGUAAGGUAACGGCUUACCAAGGCAACGAUGCAUAGCCGGCCUGAGAGGGUGAUCGGCCACACUGGAACUGAGACACGGUCCAGACUCCUACGGGAGGCAGCAGUAGGGAAUCUUCCGCAAUGGGCGAAAGCCUGACGGAGCAACGCCGCGUGAGUGAUGAAGGUCUUCGGAUCGUAAAACUCUGUUAUUAGGGAAGAACAUAUGUGUAAGUAACUGUGCACAUCUUGACGGUACCUAAUCAGAAAGCCACGGCUAACUACGUG